ACACAUGCAGUCGAACGGUAGCACAGAGAGCUUGCUCUCGGGUGACGAGUGGCGGACGGGUGAGUAAUGUCUGGGAAACUGCCUGAUGGAGGGGGAUAACUACUGGAAACGGUAGCUAAUACCGCAUAACGUCGCAAGACAAAGAGGGGGACCUUCGGGCCUCUUGCCAUCAGAUGUGCCCAGAUGGGAUUAGCUUGUUGGUGAGGUAACGGCUCACCAAGGCGACGAUCCCUAGCUGGUCUGAGAGGAUGACCAGCCACACUGGAACUGAGACACGGUCCAGACUCCUACGGGAGGCAGCAGUGGGGAAUAUUGCACAAUGGGCGCA
rnacentral:rRNA from 1 species